rnacentral:rRNA from 1 species
UACGUAGGGUGCAAGCGUUGUCCGGAAUUAUUGGGCGUAAAGAGCUCGUAGGCGGUUUGUCGCGUCGAAUGUGAAAACCCGGGGCUCAACCCCGGGCCUGCAUUCGAUACGGGCAGACUAGAGUUCGGUAGGGGAGUCUGGAAUUCCUGGUGUAGCGGUGAAAUGCGCAGAUAUCAGGAGGAACACCGGUGGCGAAGGCGGGACUCUGGGCCGAUACUGACGCUGAGGCACGAAGGCCAGGGGAGCAAACGGG